CCUCUGAAUUUUUUUAUUUGUACCAAAUCUUAAUAAUUUGAUAUGUGUAAAUGUUAUGUCUUGGUCUAAACGCCAGUUGCAUGUUGAUAUAUAGCAGCGUUGUUUAUUUUAUACAUUUGAUUUCUCUUGUCAUUUCAAAUUUUCUAUACUGAGUCCACCAUCUUCCCAGCGUCAGUGAAAACCUACAGAGCUUUUAUAAUGUUCUGUGCCAAUUUUAUUUUAGAAUUAUACUUCCUUUCAUGUUUGAUGUUCGAUGCUUAAUUAGCAUCUACUGCUCAUGAUUUGGACCUAAUCGCUCUAUUGUUUACCAUCUCCUUCAUAUAUGCGCGCAUCGCUGUCCUCGCCUGUUUGUCCUUCCACCUCAGUCCAACCACUACUAUGCUCUGCUUGUAGGCUACCAUGGAGAAAUUGCACCGGUCAGUUGAUCAUCGAGUUUGGUUCGCCGUUUCAUCUGCUCAGUGUGUUGUCUCUGCAGUCCAGUGAGGAAUUGAGUGUUGUCUUCAUGACUAAUGGUGAAGCAGUGACAUUCAAAGUUUCACAGCCAUCUGUGAAAGCAUCAAUGGCAACCACUGAGUGUUCAACUAAAUCUGCAAGUUUCAACAGGCUUUACAGGGCAUAACCUACAAACAUGUGCACUCCCUUCUUCUUUGCCUGAAUAAUGUCGUACCAAGAGAGAGGCGUUUUGGGGCAGCAGUAUUGAAGAUUAUAUUUUUUUAUGAACACAGGUGGAUUAAUUUUUUUAUGUGUCAUUUCCGUGCCUAAAUUAUCCGCUGCCACCAAAUAGAUUGCAUAGCAAUAUAUUCUAUGUAGUCUUGGUACUGGGUUGUAUAUAUGCUCUAUAUAGGCAAUUAUUAAUCCAGAUACACCCUUGGUCAUCUGAAAGCUCACUCUGCCCCCUACGUCUGCUUGUGUUCAUAUUGUUGUACUUAGUUUUAUGCAAUAACACAACAUAGUACAAACAGGGAAGUGAAAAGGGCGCAUCCCACCUGACACUGCUUAGCUUCCUCUCAGGAGGCGCUACCGGGUGGCGCCCCAAGAACUAAAGAACUGGAUGCUAAGGGUAAAUGGCUUGCAGCAAUCUGAUUGGUAAAAAUAAAUAACUUUAAUUUAGUAACUGGACCUUGUGCAUACUGUAUGUUUCAUACAAAAAGUAAGUGAGAAUUAUGCAGUCCUAAGUAUAAGAAAGCAAGGUUGGUCUACAAGUCGUAUGGAGACAGAGGGUGUACCCUUAACAGUGAGAGAGAAAAUAGUAACAUUAGAAACAAUACAGAGGAGCUAGGCCAUACCAUAGCCCUCUCCAUGAUGUAUGCAUACUCCCCUGAGCAUCCAGGAAAAGUAGAACUCAGGUCCUUUUUCUCUGAAUAUAUGAAACUGAAGUCUAAACAUUUAGGCUUUCUCAAUGUUGGCCUGGGGGUGUUGGGGGUUUGGCAUCGUCCUCGAAGUGAAGGCGCAGCGACCUUGACUCCUUGAGUCGAUCGCAACCUCAAGUGCUUUGCCAUAUACUCAUCUUGAUUAGUUGUUCCCCUACUUGUAAUGACAUCUUCUGUUCUCAACUAAUGGUUCUGAGUCAUUAACAUAUGAUAAUUUCAUAUGAUUCAGUCAGCAAAAUCGAUUUUGCCUACUGAACUAUGCUAAUGAUGGCAUACAUGACCCAGUGUACCAGACACAUGCCAAUGUGCAUAAUAACCAAGCUGAGAUUAGGGACCCAACCAGUCACCUUAAUGUGCAUAGAAAAGAUUGAAGGGCGCUGCCGUAGGAGGAAAUCGACCCGAGGUCAGCCUCCCUCCCCUGUAUGUUCUUGCCUGUGCAUUUACAUGUGACUUCCUUUGGUGGUGCGCAGCUGCUGGUGGGCCGAGCGCGAUGUGCUGACUCUGCCCCGAUGCUCAGGGACUGGACCAGUAGUGCUUGCAUGGCAUGGCUAGCAUGGAAAAUGAGGUGUCAUUUUAUGUCAUCAUCUUAUUUUAUUUUUCUGUCUUGCUCAGUAAAGCUUGCUUUUGUUAAUUAGGCCAAAGCUUCCAUCCCCUUUAUAGAAGAAAACAAAUAACUUGAGAAUGAAUGUGUGUGAACCCGUGUCAAAAUGCAUAAGACGCAUCGAGGCGCUCCAGCAAUACAAGUGCGCACACAGGUUCAAAACAUGCCUGGAACCUUUAUGAUAUCUUUACUUAACACAUUAACUGGACUGUUAUUUCACAGAUAGCAAACUAUUUGUUUUCUUUGUUAUUCUUGUAAGAUAUUAUUUUCUUUGCUAUGCAUUCCUCAUGAUUAUUUUGUCUUCAAUAAAUCCAGCGCUAGGUUCUUCAAACUACAGCGUUCCUGAAUAGUACAGUAUGUGCAUCACUUCCCUUAGAGUCCUUUGUUCUUAACAAAUCUUACAUAUAUUUUCUGAUCUCAUUUAUGAGGAAUUUUUAAUAUACGGACACAUUUCUUACCGAGGAUGUUCUAAAAUCAAAUUGUCACGGACGAUCAUUCUCAUACUACUUUGAGGUUCACUACACAGAGAAGUACCUCCAGGAGUGCAUUAACCUAGAACAUGAUGCAUUGCCAAUCAAGCUUGCAGACGGCAAGGUCUCCGUCAUGUCUCGCCAUCACAGGAAAUGACAAGAGGACCACCAUCACAACGAACUGGUCAGUUCCGUCAUCACAAACAUACAUGAGGGUGACAUCUGGGCCUUCUACUUCAGACGCAAGAUAAGGCGUAUCGUCAACGAUCGCGCCUAUCGCUUAUAAAUAUAAUCCAUGUAUAUCGUGCUCUUGUAUAUUGAACCUUCUACCUCUGUCCCUUGCUUUACUUCUGAUCAUCUAGACAUCAACAUGGUACCUAUGUGUUCGUAUGUGUUCAUCACCGUCAUUAAUAUCCUCCCUUUCGCUCCUA